CUGUUACCUCCCUAGUCUCAAUCCAUAGCUGUUCCUCUCCCUCCCCUUUUCUGAGCCUCAGUUUUCUCACUUGCAACUCAGGAUAUAACAGAGAAACUGCCAUUGGUUAAGCAUUUAGUAUGUUAAGGCAUGUGCUAAGCCCUCUACCCCCAUCACCUGCUUUUCUGCUCCCAGCCCCUCCCUGAUACAGGGAUUACUCAGAGCUGAUGCACCUAGAGGUCUGGGCUCCAUGUCUGCACAUGGUAGAAGCCCAGCUAAUGUCUUUAUUUUCCUGACUCUGCUUUCAGGAGCCACCGCAACAGAACAGGAGGAGAAAGUACAUCCCAUAACCAGGAGUUAAGCCACCUUCCUCUGGGGCCAGUGAACACAUGCAAGGUGAGGAGAGGUCCUAGGAAGUCAGAGGGAGGAGAGGAGCUCAAGUCUUCCAGAUGUCUCAUUGUGGAGCAUCAACUUGUCCCUCCUGCAGAUAUGGAUGACCCCUCAUGGUCGAUGGAGAAAAGAACCACGACACCAAGGGACAGAGAAGAGAAAAAAAUGUAAGUUGCAUUUAUCAAGCUUCUUGUUCUCACCCCUUCCCCAAGCCCACCUGCAUUCUUGACUUUGGGAGGCACUGUAGUACUUGAUUCUUCCCAUAAGGUGACUUCUGGAUUCUGUUUGAAAGCCAAAGCCACCUGCUCUCUUCCCUCCAUCUGGAACAUACAUUUCCCAACUUUUUGCACUGCUGGCUCUUUCUUUAACUCAUCUUUUAAAAUGUUGUCUUUCAAAUUUCCCUUUGUGGCUUAGUGGGUUAUAAACCCAACUACUAUCCAUGAGGAUGUGGGUUCAAUCCCUGGCCUCACUCAGUGGGUUAAGGAUUGGGCAUUGCCCUUAGCUGUGGUGUAGGUCAUAGAUGUGGCUUGGAUCUGGCGUUGCUGUGGCUGUGGCCUGCAGCUGCAGCUCCAAUUCAACCCCUAGCCUGGGAACUUCCAUAUUCCACAGGUGUGGCCGUAAAAAGCAAAAUUAAAUUAAAUUAAAUUAAGUCUUAUCUUUCAUCCACCGUCUACAUGGAAUUAUUGGAACACUUUUAAGGAUGUAACACUAUUAAGUGAAUAACUAAAUGAAAAGAAACCUAAUACUGUUUCUGAUCCUCAUUUUCCCCAACUGUGAAAUGGAAAAACAGAAGGGUAUUUUCACAAGGUGACUGUGGAGAUGGAAGCAAAAUAGGGAGAGGAGGGUUCCUGGUACACAGGGUCCACUGGGUGUAUGGUAGCCACUCUGGGCAGUGGUGGUGCAACUGUAGCUUCAGCAUCUCCGAUAAUGGGCAUGUGAUUUCCACCUCAGGUUGUCCCAUUUCUAUGUUUUGACUCAAAAACCCCAGUGGGGCAGGACUAUGGAAAAGGAUACAUCUGAAAUUAGAUUUGCCACUACGAUUCCCAAAUCAGAAUCCAUUUUCAUGUAAUGUGUCUCUCUGCCAUGAGCGGUGCAGCUGUGCUGAGGAUUAAAUGAGGAGGACAGAUCUGUCUUCUAAAGGAGGGCGAAUUUCCUGGACUGGUCUGUCAAGAUAUUUGCUUUCCCACCAUUUGUCUGGGUUGGAUCCCAGAUGCCCCUCACACUGGCCUCCUCCCUCACAAUAACCAGAGAUCAUAUUAAGCAUCAACUCAUGGAACUGAGA
ensembl:lncRNA